UAAGGCUUUAAUUGAGUGCUAAGAGAAUGGUUUAACAAAAAUUAACUUUCUUUAAAUUUAUAAUAGAAGUUGAUUUAAAAAUGAAAAAGUUUUUAUUUAUUUUUGGGACAAGAAGACCCUAUGAAUUUUUUUUAUAACUUUAUUUAAAAUUUUUUAAAGAUAAAAUGAAGUGAAUUUAUAAGUUGAUUGGGGUGAUUUUUAAAGAAUAUUUAUCUUUAAAAGUUGAAGGAAUUAGAACCAAAAUUUUUGGAUGUUUGAAUAAAAUACUCUAGGGAUAACAGCGUAAUUAUUUUGGAUAGUUCAUAUAGAUAAAAUAGUUUGCGACCUCGAUGUUGGAUUAAGAUAC
rnacentral:rRNA from 1 species